UUCCGGUUGAUCCCGCCAGAGGCUACUGCUAUCGGGGUCCGACUAAGCCAUGCGAGUUGAGAGGGGUAGCCCUCGGCAUAUUGCUCAGUAACACGCGGAUAACCUGCCCUUGGGUUUGGGAUAACCCCGGGAAACUGGGACUAAUACCGGAUAGAUCAAAGAAACUGGAAUGUUCUCUGAUCGAAAGCUCCGGCGCCCAAGGAUGGGUCUGCGGCCUAUCAGGUAGUAGUGGGUGUAACGUACCUACUAGCCUACGACGGGUAAGGGUUGUGAGAGCAAGAGCCCUGAGAUGGAUUCUGAGACAUGGAUCCAGGCCCUACGGGGUGCAGCAGGCGCGAAAACUUUACACUGCGGGAAACCGCGAUAAGGGGACCCCGAGUGCCAGCACCUAGUGCUGGCUGUCCAGCUGUUCAAAUAACAGUUGUUAGCAAGGGCCGGGCAAGACCGGUGCCAGCCGCCGCGGUAACACCGGCGGCCCGAGUGGUAGCCGUUAUUAUUGGGUUUAAAGGGUCCGUAGCCGGCCUAUUAAGUCUCUUGGGAAAUCUGGCGACUCAAUCGUCAGGCGUUCAAGAGAUACUGGUAGGCUUGGGACCGGGAGAGGUGGGAGGUACUCCAGGGGUAGGGGUGAAAUCUCGUAAUCCUUGGGGGACCACCGAUGGCGAAGGCAUCCCACCAGAACGGGUCCGACGGUGAGGGACGAAAGCUGGGGGCACGAACCGGAUUAGAUACCCGGGUAGUCCCAGCCGUAAACGAUGCUCGCUAGGUGUCAGGUGCGGUGCGACCGCAUCUGGUGCCGCAGUGAAAACUUGAAGCGAGUCACCUGGGAAGUACGGUCGCAAGGCUGAAACUUAAAGGAAUUGGCGGGGGAGCACUACAACGGGUGGAGCCUGCGGUUCAAUUGGAUUCAACGCCGGG
rnacentral:rRNA from 1 species